rnacentral:rRNA from 1 species
GUGAAAUGCGUAGAGAUGUGGAGGAACACCAGUGGCGAAGGCGACUUUCUGGUCUGUAACUGACGCUGAGGCGCGAAAGCGUGGGAGGCAACAGGAUUAGAUACCUCGGUAGUCCACGCCGUAACGAUGAGUGCUAAGUGUUAGGGGUUCCGGUCCCUACGUGCUGCAGCUAACGCAUUAAGUCACUCCGCCUCGGGGAGGUACGGCCGCAAGGCUGAAACUCAAAGGAAUUGAC